UACGUAGGGUGCGAGCGUUGUCCGGAAUUAUUGGGCGUAAAGAGCUCGUAGGCGGUGUGUCGCGUCGGUCGUGAAAACUUGGGGCUUAACUCUGAGCUUGCGGUCGAUACGGGCAUCACUGGAGUUCGGCAGGGGAGACUGGAAUUCCUGGUGUAGCGGUGAAAUGCGCAGAUAUCAGGAGGAACACCGAUGGCGAAGGCAGCUCGCUGGGACGGUACUGACGCUGAGGCGCGAAAGCGUGGGGAGCAAACAGG
rnacentral:rRNA from 1 species